AUUGAACGCUGGCGGCAUGCCUUACACAUGCAAGUCGAACGGCAGCACGGGGGCAACCCUGGUGGCGAGUGGCGAACGGGUGAGUAAUACAUCGGAAUGUACCCAGUAGUGGGGGGAUAACUAGUCGAAAGAUUAGCUAAUACCGCAUACGCACUAUGGUGGAAAGCGGGGGAUCGCAAGACCUCGCGCUAUUGGAGCAGCCGAUGUCCGAUUAGGUAGUUGGUGGGGUAAAGCCUACCAAGCCUGCGAUCGGUAACUGGUCUGAGAGGACGACCAGUCACACUGGGACUGAGACACGGCCCAGACUCCUACGGGAGGCAGCAGUGGGGAAUUUUGGACAAUGGGGGAACCCUGAUCCAGCAAUGCCGCGUGUGUGACGAAGGCCUCGGGUUGUAAGCACUUUGUCGGGACGAACGGCGCUUCUAUACAGAGUGCUAAUGACGGUACCGCAGAAUAAGCACCGGCUAACUA
rnacentral:rRNA from 1 species